AGUCGCACGAGAACGCUCCUUCGGGAGCUAGUAAAGUGGCGGACGGGUGAGUAACGCGUAGAUAACCUGCCCUUAAGAGAGGAAUAACUACUGGAAACGGUAGCUAAUGCCACAUAAUAUCAGUCUUUCGCAUGAUCGACUGAUCAAAGCCUUCGGGCGCUUGGGGAUGGAUCUGCGUCGGAUUAGCUUGUUGGUGAGGUAAAAGCUCACCAAGGCAGUAAUCCGUAGCUGGUCUGAGAGGAUGAUCAGCCACACUGGCACUGAGACACGGGCCAGACUCCUACGGGAGGCAGCAGUGGGGAAUCUUAGGCAAUGGGGGAAACCCUGACCUAGCCAUGCCGCGUGGAGGAAGACACCCCUACGGGGCGUAAACUCCUUUUCUACUGGAAGAAAACCCUGUUUUUCAGGGCGUGACGGUACAGUAGGAAUAAGCACCGGCUAACUCCGUGCCAGCAGCCGCGGUAAUACGGAGGGUGCAAGCGUUGUCCGGAAUCACUGGGUGUAAAGGGUGUGCAGGCGGGACAGCAAGUCAGAAGUGAAAGCCCACGGCUUAACCGUGGAAGUGCUUUUGAAACUGCUGUUCUUGAGUCUCGGAGAAGUUGCUGGAAUUCGUGGUGUAGCGGUGAAAUGCGUAGAUAUCACGAGGAACACCAGAAGCGUAAGCGAGCAACUAGACGAGUACUGACGCUGAGGC
rnacentral:rRNA from 1 species